AGCGAACGCUGGCGGCAGGCCUAACACAUGCAAGUCGAACGAGCCCUUCGGGGCUAGUGGCGGACGGGUGAGUAACACGUGGGAACGUGCCUUUUGGUUCGGAACAACUCAGGGAAACUUGAGCUAAUACCGAAUGUGCCCUUCGGGGGAAAGAUUUAUCGCCAUUAGAGCGGCCCGCGUCUGAUUAGCUAGUUGGUGAG
rnacentral:rRNA from 1 species